rnacentral:rRNA from 1 species
AUUGAACGCUGGCGGCAGGCCUAACACAUGCAAGUCGAGCGGCAGCGGGAAAGUAGCUUGCUACUUUUGCCGGCGAGCGGCGGACGGGUGAGUAAUGCCUGGGAAAUUGCCCAGUCGAGGGGGAUAACAGUUGGAAACGACUGCUAAUACCGCAUACGCCCUACGGGGGAAAGCAGGGGACCUUCUGGCCUUGCGCGAUUGGAUAUGCCCAGGUGGGAUUAGCUAGUUGGUGAGGUAAUGGCUCACCAAGGCGACGAUCCCUAGCUGGUCUGAGAGGAUGAUCAGCCACACUGGAACUGAGACACGGUCCAGACUCCUACGGGAGGCAGCAGUGGGGAAUAUUGCACAAUGGGGGAAACCCUGAUGCAGCCAUGCCGCGUGUGUGAAGAAGGCCUUCGGGUUGUAAAGCACUUUCAGCGAGGAGGAAAGGUCAGUAGCUAAUACCUGCUGACUGUGACGUUACUCGCAGAAGAAGCACCGGCUAACUCCGUGCCAGCCGCCGCGGUAAAAC